GGGGAUUGGGCACUGAAGUCGGGAGUGGGAUUCUUUAAAUUCUCGGCUUUCCUCUUCCAGCGCUUUAAAAACGAAUCGGCCUCUCCUCCCUGGGCCUCCAGAUGUUAUCUUUCCUUUGGGUGGGAUUCCAGAGUGGAACCUGAAGCUCAUGCAUGGGUCAGGAGAAAUCAGAGCUGUAGGAAGCAAAGCGGCGGGGCAGGGCAGGGCAGGGCGCGGCGCGUGGGGUCCCGUGUGGUCCCGGCCGCAGGGACGGGAAGGCGGAGUCUGGCGCGGAGCAGCGAUCUGGGGCAGCGGAGGUCCGGGCCGGGCUGGGCGGGGGUCCCGCUCUCCCUCUCCCCAACCUCGCCUCCCGGGCUCUGCUGACGUUGCGGCUUCCUCCGCCCGGGGCUGAGCCCUGCCUCGGCCCGCCUUCUCUCCGCCGACCGUCUCCGCCCUGUCCGCACGGCCGCCAGAGGCUGAAGCGGCGCACCCCGGGCGCGGCGCCCUGAGCUCGGAUGGCUCGGCGCGCAAGCUGAGGGCCGGACUCCAGGGGUCCGGAGCCCCGGCGUCCCACGGGGACCCAGAGAGAAGACGCCCGGGAGGACGGAGCGGAUCAUUCGAAGAUGAUUUGGCUGCUUUGGAGACUGGGAGAUCUGGUGCCACAAUGAGGACUCACACACGGGGGGCUCCUAGUGUGUUUUUCAUAUGUUUGCUCUGCUGUGUGUCAGCCUACAUCACUGACGAGAACCCAGAAGUCAUGAUUCCCUUCAUUAAUGCUAACUAUGACAGCCACCCGAUGUUGUACUUCUCCAGGAAGGAUGUGGCAGAGCUCCAGCUGAGGGCUGCCGGCUCCCAUGAACACAUCGCAGCUCGGCUUACAGCAGCUGUGCAUACCAUGCUGACUAACCCCUUGGAGUACCUCCCUCCCUGGGAUCACAAGGAGUACAGUGCCCGCUGGAAUGAGAUCUAUGGAAACAACCUGGGUGCCUUGGCAAUGUUCUGUGUGCUGUACCCUGAGAACACUGAAGCUCGAGACAUGGCCAAAGACUACAUGGAGAGGAUGGCAGCGCAGCCUAGUUGGUUGGUGAAAGAUGCACCUUGGGAUGAAGUCCCACUCGCACAUUCCCUGGUGGGUUUCGCCACUGCGUAUGACUUCUUAUAUAACUACCUGAGCAAGACACAGCAGGAGACAUUCCUGGAAGUGAUUGCCAAUGCCUCAGGCUAUAUGUAUGAAACUUCCUACCGAAGAGGAUGGGGGUUCCAGUACUUGCAUAACCACCAGCCCACCAACUGCAUGGCCUUACUCACUGGAAGUCUUGUUCUGAUGAACCAAGGAUACCUUCAGGAGGCCUACUUAUGGACCAAGCAAGUUCUAAGCAUCAUGGAGAAAUCUCUGGUCUUGCUGCGAGAGGUGACGGAUGGCUCCCUCUACGAAGGAGUUGCGUACGGCAGCUAUACCACUAGGUCCCUGUUCCAGUACAUGUUUCUUGUUCAGAGGCACUUUGACAUCAACCACUUUGGCCAUCCAUGGCUUAAGCAACAUUUUGCCUUUAUGUAUAGGACCAUCUUGCCAGGGUUUCAAAGAACUGUAGCCAUUGCAGACUCAAAUUACAACUGGUUUUAUGGUCCAGAAAGUCAAUUAGUGUUCCUGGAUAAAUUUGUCAUGCGUAAUGGGAGUGGAAACUGGCUGGCUGACCAAAUCAGAAAGAAUCGUGUAGUGGAAGGUCCAGGUACACCAUCCAAGGGGCAGCGCUGGUGCACUCUGCACACAGAAUUUCUCUGGUAUGAUGCCAGCUUGAAACCAGUUCCACCUCCAGAUUUUGGUACCCCAACACUGCAUUAUUUUGAGGACUGGGGUGUUGUGACUUACGGAAGUGCACUACCUGCAGAAAUCAACAGGUCGUUCCUUUCCUUCAAGUCAGGAAAACUUGGGGGGCGUGCAAUAUAUGACAUUGUCCAUAGAAACAAAUAUAAAGACUGGAUCAAAGGGUGGAGAAACUUUAAUGCAGGACAUGAGCAUCCUGACCAAAAUUCUUUCACUUUCGCCCCUAAUGGCGUGCCAUUCAUUACCGAAGCCCUCUAUGGACCAAAGUACACUUUCUUUAACAAUGUUCUAAUGUUUUCUCCAGCUGUGUCAAAGAGUUGCUUUUCUCCCUGGGAGGGUCAGGUCACAGAAGACUGUUCAUCGAAGUGGUUAAAAUAUAAGCAUGACCUGGCGGCCAGCUGCCAGGGGAGAGUGAUUGCGGCAGAGGAAAAGGGUGGGAUUGUUUUUAUCCGAGGAGAAGGCGUAGGAGCUUAUAACCCCAUGCUCAACCUGAAGAACAUUCAACGGAACCUCAUCCUCCUCCACCCACAGCUUCUCCUCCUUGUGGACCAGAUACACCUGGGAGAAGAGAGCCCCCUGGAGACAGCGGCAAGUUUCUUCCACAAUGUGGAUGUCCCUUUUGAGGAGACAGUAGUAGAUGGGGUCCAUGGAGCUUUCAUCCGGCAGCGAGAUGGCCUCUAUAAAAUGUACUGGAUGGAUGAUACUGGUUAUAGUGAAAAAGCAACCUUUGCCUCAGUGAUGUAUCCUCGGGGUUACCCCUACAAUGGGACAAAUUAUGUGAAUGUCACCAUGCAUCUUCGAAGUCCCAUCACCAGGGCAGCUUACCUCUUCAUAGGGCCAUCUGUGGAUGUCCAGAGCUUCAGCAUCCAUGGAGACCCUCAGCGGCUGGAUGUGUUCGUAGCUACCGGCGAACAUGCCUACGCAACUUACCUGUGGACAGGUGAGAACACGGGACAGUCCGCUUUUGUACAGGUCAUUGCAGAUCACCAGAAAAUUCUGUUUGGCCAGAGUUCAGCCAUCAAAAGCACCACUGUUCCCGAAGUGAAAGAUUACGCUGCUAUCGUGGAGCAGAAUCUGCAGCAUUUUAAGCCCGUGUUCCAGCUGCUCGAGAAGCAGAUCCUAUCUCGAGUCCAGAACACAGCCAGCUUUAGGAAGACUGCGGAGCGCCUGCUGAGGUUUUCAGAUAAGAGACAGACAGAGGAGGCCAUCGACAGGAUUUUUGCUAUAUCGCAGCAACAGCGGCAGCAGCGAGGCAAGUCAAAGAAGAGCCGAAGGGCAGGUAAGCAUUACAAGUUUGUAGAUACUGUCCCUGAUAUUUUUGCACAAAUUGAAGUCAAUGAGAAGAAGAUUCGACAGAAAGCUCAGAUUUUAGCACAGAAAGAACAGCCCAUAGAUGAAGAUGAAGAAAUGAAAGACCUUUUGGAUUUUGCUGAUGUCACAUACGAGAAGCAUAAAAACGAGGGUUCCAUGAAAGGUGGCUUUGGGCAAGUGCGGAUGGUGACAAGUCACAACAAAGCACCUUCACUGUCAGCCUCGUACACCAGACUCUUCUUGAUUCUAAACAUUGCCAUCUUCUUUGUCAUGUUGGCCAUGCAACUGACUUAUUUCCAGAGGGCUCAGAGCCUCCAUGGCCAACGGUGUCUUUAUGUAGUCCUCCUAAUAGACAGCUGUGUCUUACUGUGGUUGUACUCCUCCUGUUCUCAAUCUCAGUGCUAAUGCCAAAGCCGUGAGCCUCUCAUGAUCACUAGAGUUCCUAAUUUUUUAUAAUUUCUCCCCCAGAUCUAUUUGGGCAAAUUUAAGGGAAGUUGUUUUCAUACACAAAAAGUAGGAGUAUGGAAAGCUCUGAACUCAAGUGCACGCAAAGGACGUCCCUAAGGUGUAAGGAUAGCGUUGGCUAUCCCGUGUGCCUGGGAUGUCCCUAAGGUGUAAGGAUAGCGUUGGCUAUCCCGUGUGCCUGGGACGUCCCUAAGGUGUAAGGAUAGCGUCCCUAAGGUGUAAGGUUAGCGUUGGCUAUCCCGUGUGCCUGGGACGUCCCUAAGGUGUAAGGAUAGCGUUGGCUAUCCCAUGUGCCUGGGACGUCCCUAAGGUGUAAGGAUAGCGUUGGCUAUCCCCUUGUGUGCCUGGGAACGUCUGGCUUUGCUGACUGACCACUUUCUAUUAGAAGAGUCCAAAAUGCCUGGUUUUUUAUGUCAUCUUUCUGUUAAUAUAAAGAAAAAAUGAAUUGGACUUUAUUAUCAUUAAUUUAAUUCUGUUAGAAGCUUCCAGAUUCUGUAUUAUGGAACAUACGGAGACACAUAAUUCCAAGCAAUACAGGCUGUUAAAAUAUAAAUAAUGGGAACUGUUAUUAUAGGACCUGGAAACUUCAAAUAACACAGUAAAAUGAUAGUAGAAGAUCAUAAAGGAACUGAAAUUUUUUAAAAUGGAAAACAUGUAUGAAUGAACAUCUUUUUGAUGAUGUUGGUCAAUGCAGGAAUGUGAUUUGUAGCUUUUUGAUAAAUAAUACAAUAACAGGUAAUUUCAUAUUCUCUUUCUCUUUUAUGUAAAAUAUUUAUAGACCCAAUGGCUAAAGUUUUCAAAGUAAACUAUUUUAUAUCUUGAAACUCAAUACCAAAGAACAUAGGACUAAAGUUUUGGUGUGAUUCUGAUGUUUUUAACUAGAAAAGUUUCUUCAAGUUUAUUUUGCUAAAUAAACCAAUCAUAAUUAUGAUCUC